GACGAACGCUGGCGGCGUGCUUAACACAUGCAAGUCGAACGGAAAGGCCCUGCUUUUGUGGGGUGCUCGAGUGGCGAACGGGUGAGUAACACGUGAGUAACCUGCCCUUGACUUUGGGAUAACUUCAGGAAACUGGGGCUAAUACCGGAUAGGAGCGCCUGCUGCAUGGUGGGGGUUGGAAAGUUUCGGCGGUUGGGGAUGGACUCGGGGCUUAUCAGCUUGUUGGUGGGGUAGUGGCUUACCAAGGCUUUGACGGGUAGCCGGCCUGAGAGGGUGACCGGCCACAUUGGGACUGAGAUACGGCCCAGACUCCUACGGGAGGAAGCAGUGGGGAAUAUUGCACAAUGGGCGGAAGCCUGAUGCAGCAACGCCGCGUGCGGGAUGACGGCCUUCGGGUUGUAAACCGCUUUCGCCUGUGACGAAGCGUGAGUGACGGUAAUGGGUAAAGAAGCACCGGCUAACUACGUG
rnacentral:rRNA from 1 species